rnacentral:rRNA from 1 species
UACGUAGUGGGCGAGCGUUAUCCGGAUUCACUGGGUGUAAAGGGAGCGUAGACGGCCAUGCAAGCCAGGGGUGAAAGCCCGGGGCCCAACCCCGGGACUGCCCUUGGAACUGCAUGGCUGGAGUGCGGGAGGGGCAGGCGGAAUUCCUGGUGUAGCGGUGAAAUGCGUAGAUAUCAGGAGGAACACCGGCGGCGAAGGCGGCCUGCUGGACCGCGACUGACGUUGAGGCUCGAAAGCGUGGGGAGCGAACAGG